GAUGAAGAACGUAGCGAAAUGCGAUAAGUAGUGAAUUGCAGAAUUCAGUGAAUCAUCGAAUCUUUGAACGCACAUUGCGCCCCUUGGUAUCCCGAGGGGCAUGCCUGUUCGAGCGUCAUUUCACCACUCAAGCCUGGCUUGGUGUUGGGCGACGUCCCCUUUGGGGACGCGCCUCGAAACGCUCGGCGGCGUGGCACCGGCUUUAAGCGUAGCAGAAUCUUUCGCUUUGGAAGUCGGGGCCCCGUCUGCCGGAAGACCUACUCGCAAGGUUGACCUCGGAUCAGGCAGGGAUACCCGCUGAACUUAAGCAUAUCAAUAAGCGGAGGA
rnacentral:misc_RNA from 1 species